rnacentral:rRNA from 1 species
AGCGAACGCUGGCGGCAGGCUUAACACAUGCAAGUCGAGCGGGCCCUUCGGGGUCAGCGGCGGACGGGUGAGUAACGCGUGGGAACGUGCCUUCUGGUUCGGAAUAACUCAGGGAAACUUGAGCUAAUACCGGAUACGCCCUUUUGGGGAAAGGUUUACUGCCGGAAGAUCGGCCCGCGUCUGAUUAGCUAGUUGGUGGGGUAACGGCCUACCAAGGCGACGAUCAGUAGCUGGUCAGAGAGGAUGAUCAGCCACACUGGGACUGAGACACGGCCCAGACUCCUACGGGAGGCAGCAGUGGGGAAUAUUGGACAAUGGGCGCAAGCCUGAUCCAGCCAUGCCGCGUGAGUGAUGAAGGCCUUAGGGUUGUAAAGCUCUUUUAUCCGGGACGAUAAUGACGGUACCGGAGGAAUAAGCCCCGGCUAACUUCGUG